rnacentral:lncRNA from 1 species
AUUGCACCACUGCACUCCAGCGUGGAUGACAGAGCAAGACACCCUGUCUCAAAAAAAAGACUAUACAACAGAGCUCUGAAAAAGAUCACACUUUCAGGCUCAAGGAGCUCUCUUGUUCCUUCCACCAUCUGAGAACACAGUGAGAAGUCCCCAGGCUUCAACCUGAAAAAGGGCCCUCAUCAGAACCUGAUCAUCAGAACUUGGCACCCCAAUCUUUGUCUUCUGAUCUACAUUGUGACCUAAGUCAGGUUCCAAAAAGAAAGUCAGAAAGAGAAAUUUGGAGCAGAAUGCACUACACGGCUUUCUCCUGAGUAUGAAGUGUUUGCCUAGCUUCUUCAAAUGGAGCGGAUAUUGAACAAGAAGAAAACACAGAUUACUAUCUCAGCAGGAUGGAUGACUCUAUCAUGAUCCUCAUGAAAUCAGGUCUACGUAGGGUGUCUCGCCAAAUGCCACACCUCUUCCUGGAUUUACACACACACACAGAUUAAGCCUACAAUUACUCAAACUAAAACAUCUUAAAUUUGUG